rnacentral:rRNA from 1 species
CUGGCGGCAGGCCUAACACAUGCAAGUCGAACGGUAACAGGAAGCAGCUUGCUGCUUGCUGACGAGUGGCGGACGGGUGAGUAAUGUCUGGGAAACUGCCCGAUGGAGGGGGAUAACUACUGGAAACGGUAGCUAAUACCGCAUAAUGUCGCAAGACCAAAGAGGGGGACCUUCGGGCCUCUUGCCAUCGGAUGUGCCCAGAUGGGAUUAGCUUGUUGGUGAGGUAACGGCUCACCAAGGCGACGAUCCCUAGCUGGUCUGAGAGGAUGACCAGCCACACUGGAACUGAGACACGGUCCAGACUCCUACGGGAGGCAGCAGUGGGGAAUAUUGCACAAUGGGCGCAAGCCUGAUGCAGCCAUUGCCGCGUGUAUGAAGAAGGCCUUCGGGUUGUAAAGUACUUUCAGCGGGGAGGAAGGGGUUAAGGUUAAUAACCUUAGCCAUUGACGUUACCCGCAGAAGAAGCACCGGCUAACUCCGUGCCAGCAGCCGC